GUUGUCAUCACUUAUGGAGGGACUACUCUGACAGAAACCCAGAAGGACAAAGAAGCCCACUAUUUUGCAGGAGGCAGCUGAGGACAACCUGAGGCCUCCUGUGUUGGAUGAAGAGGGCUAAUUCUUCUGGCUUAAAGACAUAGUGCAAUAGGGACAGCUAUUCAGUGACAAGUUUCAUGAGAUCCUUUCUGCACUGUUCUCCCUGUCUGGAAAAGCCACCAGCUGGUAAUGCUAUAGUCAAGCAGUCAUUCUACAUAGCCACACCUAGUGAUGUGAUCAUUGGUAGCCUCACCUGGUUUGAAUUUCCAAAACACACUUCUGGAAAAGUAAGGGGUCUGAGUUACAGAUCCAGGGUGUAGGAAAAAUCCCCCUGAAAACUGUAUCUUAGACCCCGGUGGCCAGAGAUGCAGGCGUAGUAGAAAAGCAUGAUUUGGUCUUUUCAUGGGAGCCCAGCCCAGACCCAGACGAAGCUCCUGUUCUAAGGGCCAUGAUUGAAAUUCCUCGUGGAAAGUCUGUCUUUGAGACACCAAGACACCUCAUUUAAUUCCCAUUUCCUUUUUAAGUCAGGUCCCUCCUUCCUGAGAACCACAUUUAAAGUUGCUAGCUGGCUUUCCUUCUGUUUUUGCUAUUUGUGUGCCAACUUCAAGGGUGGGGAGAGCCACGUUAAUUUAAAAAUAUAGCACAAAUAGCAAAACGAGGCUUGAUUUAAGGUAAAAACCACAGAAAGGGUUUUCCCCUUCCCUUCUGUGUUUUUCAGACUUUCCUAGAUCCACUAUUAAUUCUUCAGAGCCCAGACAUAGAAAGUGAUUGAGGCACACUGGAUGCUCUUCCAGACUAAAACAAAAAGCCUCCAGUGGACUCUCUCAUUGCCCCUUCAGACUUUAUUUUAAAGAGGGCUUAAGAAAGCUGGCCAAACUCCAUUCAUGGUAGGAUCUUGCUAAGCACCCUAGAUUUGGUGUUAUAAACUACCCUUUUGGAUCAGUUGUCCACUUGGGCAUCUUGGUUUUGGGAAUGUGGCUUUAAGAGUAGAGUUCCUAGAUCAAAUCCUGGCCUCAUUAUUUAUUAGUUUUCUGACUUUACAUCAAUGGGAAUCAUGAUUCACAAUGUUCAGUCCAUAGUGAGUCAAGGUCUAAAAAGAGCCUGGAGCAAAAGGAGCGACCAAUAGGCGGUGGCUAUUAUGAAAAUAGACCGUUUCAUCUGUCGGCUCCCUCUUUAGUCUCCAUUUCCGGUUUUGGAAAGGAAAGAAAAUUCGUUAUCUAUUUCAAGUGGAGGAUCUACCUCCAUUUUAAAUCACUCAGGGACUCACCAGAAGGGGAGGCCAGACCGCACUGAAUUUGCAAUACCCAGGCCUUUAAACCGAAUGGAAGCCCCAUUCUUGCCACUUAACAGAACACGGGCGAGCAGAUUGGGACUUGGGAAGCCUCGAAGGGAUAGCAAUUGCUCAGUCUAAAGACACAGGUCUAAGAUACGUGGGUGGGGGAAUUCACCUGAAGAAGGAAAGCCUCUGCAAGUGUUUGUAGGCAGAGCUGACAGUAGUGAAACUCCAUGCGCGUGCGGCAGCGCCCUCUGCCGGCCUCGGGGAGGGCAAAUCUGGAGCCUGGCCCCACGGCUGGUCAAAUGGGACUCCGGAUCCUUUCUGCUGCCUCCGCCCCCGCUCCGUCCCUUCCCGUGAUCGCGCAGCCUGGUCUGGGACUGGAUUCCAGGAGAGGCGUCCCCAUCCUACGCCUGAAGGCAGAGCAAGGACGCUGCUCUAAAACACCCGGUUCAUCAGCAGAGCGGAGGCUGCAGGAACCUACCCAAACCCACCUGGGGCUGCUUUUGCCUCCCGGAAACCCGGGCAGAAGCCUGCGGGGCGGUCGGAGGUGGUUUGGAAGUGGCAUCGCCUAUGGCCAAGACCGAGGGUUCUGCGGACAGAGAGGAGCCCUGGGUUCGCUUUCUGCCUCAUCCAGCUAGGUGACCUUGGGCAAGAAUAUCAGCAAAAAACCCACAACAAAGCCAAACCAUUACCACCAGCAGCCCAAGGUGUGGAGAAGCAGGCUCAGGAGUUUAGAAGACUAUUUUUGCAGAGGACUGGAGUUCGGUGCCCAGCGUCCCCAUCAGGCCCUCAUGUAGCCCAGGCUGGCUUGGAAGUCACUAAGUAGCAGAGGCUGACCUUGAACUGCCUUUACCUCUCAAGUGCUAGGAUUACAGAAGCACAUCCCUGCAAUCCUAAAGCACACCCAACUCUGCCCUCUUUAAGUGCAGUCAUCACUCUGAGAAACAUCAAGAUGAAGUUGGAAAGCUCUGAUGUGAGGAUGGUCAUUCUCAGUUCCCAGGUUCUGCCAGUGGGGACCAGAACAGAAUCACUGCUGGGGAGACCACGGUUCCCCAAGUCUGGCUGGGCUGCGAAAGCUGUCCUUGUCUGAGGUCCUGCUCUGGAUGAUGAUGUAUGCCCUGCUGCUCAUGGGUGGGGGGCCAUGAACUGCAGUUAAAG
ensembl:lncRNA